rnacentral:rRNA from 1 species
GUACGGGAGGCAGCAGUGGGGAAUAUUGGACAAUGGGGGAAACCCUGAUCCAGCAAUGCCGCGUGGGUGAUGAAGGCCUUCGGGUUGUAAAGCCCUUUUGGCGGGGACGAUGAUGACGGUACCCGCAGAAGAAGCCCCGGCUAACUUCGUGCCAGCAGCCGCGGUAAUACGAAGGGGGCUAGCGUUGUUCGGAAUUACUGGGCGUAAAGGGCGCGUAGGCGGCUUCGCUAGUCGGGCGUGAAAUGCCUGGGCUUAACCCGGGAAUUGCGCUCGAUACUUCGAGGCUAGAGUGUGGGAGAGGUUGGUGGAAUUCCCAGUGUAGAGGUGAAAUUCGUAGAUAUUGGGAAGAACACCGGUGGCGAAGGCGGCCAACUGGACCACAACUGACGCUGAGGCGCGAAAGCGUGGGGAGCAAACAGGAUUAGAUACCCCGGUAGC